GACGAACGCUGGCGGCGUGCUUAACACAUGCAAGUCGAACGGGCCUGUCUUCUUUUUUGGGGGGUGGGUUGAGUGGCGAACGGGUGAGUAUCACGUGAGUAACCUGCCCUUCGGUCCUGGAUAACCGCUUGAAAGGGCGGCUAAUACGGGGUGGUCCGGUUGGUCCGCAUGGGCUGGUCGGGAUAGAUUCACUGUUUUUGGUGUUUCGGCGGGGGAUGGGCUCGCGGCCUAUCAGCUUGUUGGUGGGGUGAUGGCCUACCAAGGCGGUGACGGGUAGCCGGGCUGAGAGGGUGGGCGGCCACACUGGGACUGAGAUACGGCCCAGACUCCUGCGGGAGGCAGCAGUGGGGGGUAUUGCACAAUGGGCGGAAGCCUGAUGCAGCGACGUCGCGUGAGGGAUGGAGGCCUUCGGGUUGUGAACCUCUGUUUCCGGUGGUGAAGGCCCUGUCCGUGUGGUGGGGUUGACGGUAGCCGGGGAUGAAGCGCCGGCUAACUACGUG
rnacentral:rRNA from 1 species